GGAGGGAUCAUUAACACGUUUCCAAAAAAAACGUUUCCAAAAACCAAACCGUGAACUUAGAAACAAACUCCCUUGACAAUGUGAACGAACGAAUAGCUAGGUGGAGUGGGAUACGGUACUUUCGAGUACCCCCCGCUGCGACGCGUUCUAGGAGCCUUUGAGCUUCAUUCACUUGUUGAGUGCAAUGACGCCACCACCUGGGAGACUAAACGUCUCCACCUUCAUUGGGGUAACCCAGUGCAUGCGUGCGAGCUCCGUUUAGCAUUCUUCCGAAUCCUUUUUUUCACAACAUUUUUUAACCCCAUUAAAACUCAUACUAAUAACUGAACCUUUUUUUCUAUAUGUCUUAAUUGAUAUAUGAAAAAGAUAUACGUAAUGCUGAACAACUCUUAGCAAUGGAUAUCUUGGUUCUCGUAACGAUGAAGAACGCAGCGAAAUGCGAUACGUAAUGCGAAUUGCAGAAUUCAGUGAAUCAUCAAAUCUUUGAACGCAAAUGGCGCUCUCGGGAUAUGCCCGGGAGCAUGCCUCUCUGAGUAUCGGUUCUAACUCUCAACGCCAGCGUGCUUUGUUUCGGCAUUGCACACAACUGGGCAGUUGGAAAAUGAGAGUCUAGUAGCGCAAGCAAACUAGUCUCUUGAAACCGAUAGAAGCUUGGAUAGCACUAGUCAGCGCUGUUUCCAUUUCCGGAUGGAUGCAGAUAGCUUGUCAUCGACAAGGCACGCUUGAGCUUAGUGACGUGGAUAGAAGUACCACUUGUUGGUCUUUCAAAACGUUGCGAUAGCAUGAGCGAGCUGAUGACAAGUGAAUGAGUAGGAAUGUUAACCAUAGCUUGUCAAACGAAUUCAAAGGGCAUAUGCUGUAAUGUUAACUCAUUGUGUGCAUGCGUUUCCUUUGUUUUGAAUUAGAUCUCAGAUGAAGCAAGAGGACCCCCUGAAUUUAAGCAUAUUAUUAAGGGGAGGAAAAGAAACUAACAAGGAUUCCCCUAGUAACGGCGAGUGAAGCGGGAAGUAGCUCAAUCUGGGAAUCGAGAGUGGAAAGCCACGCCUCGAGAUGUAUCCUAGAGACGUGUUAUCAGCGUGUGACCUCGAUAUAAAUCUUUUGAAACAAGGUAUCAUAGAGGGUGAGAAUCCCGUCUUUGAUCGAGAGUUCGCCGCGUACGAUACAUGUUCAACGAGUCGAGUUGUUUGGGAUUGCAGCUCUAAAUGGGUGGUAAAUUUCAUCUAAAGCUAAAUAACGACGAGAGACCGAUAGCGAACAAGUACCGUGAGGGAAAGAUGAAAAGAACUUUGAAAAGAGAGUUAAAAAGUACUUGAAAUUGUUAAGAGGGAAGCGCUAGCAAGCAGUCAUGACGGGGUGCUAUACUCACUGACGCACAUCGAAAAUGUAUGCGGACCAGAUCGCAAGACUGUGUCGGUGCAUGGACGAAUGGGUGUUGGGCAUGUAGUAUCUCGUGGGUCAGAGUCAAUUCGAAGCGUGGCUGAAGGUGUAUGGAAAGGUAGGGUCCCCGGACCUGUUAUAGUCUGUACAUUGUACCAUGCUUUGGAUUGAGGUAUUGAUAACGGACGCCGCAAGGUUUCGGCUGGGUGCGCCUGCUGGGUGGGUCGGCUUGGAGGACAAUGUCCUGCUGGUUGGCUUUCAAUUCGGUACUGCGUAUCUAUGUCAGAUGUCCGUUGGCGAUUCUGACGAAAUGCUUGCUAUCGACCCGUCUUGAAACACGGACCAAGGAGUCUAACAUAUAUGCGAGUAUUUGGGUGCCAAACUCGAAUGCGUAAUGAAAGUAAAGAUAGCUUCGGCUAUUGUGGUAGGAAAGGUGUUACAGCCUGGCACUAUCGACCGAUCGUCACUUGUGAUUGAUUUGAGUGCGAGCAUAUCUGUUGGGACCCGAAAGAUGGUGAUCUAUGCCUGAACAGGGUGAAGCCAGGGGAAACUCUGGUGGAGGCUCGUAGCGAUACUGACGUGCAAAUCGUUCGUCUGAUUUGGGUAUAGGGGCGAAAGACUAAUCGAACCAUCUAGUAGCUGGUUCCCUC
rnacentral:misc_RNA from 1 species